CUCACCCGCCGCUUCCCCCAGCCCGGCGAGGGGCAGCCCGCCCGCGGGGGUCCUCUGUGAGACUGCUCGGCUGGGGCUACAAUUGGACAGGCAGCCGGUCCGUCCCGCGGGGGGGGGAUCCCCCGCCCUGCGGCCCGGUGUUCGGUACGGGAGGUGUAAACCCCCCGCGCGGCUCCUCCCGUGGUCCCCCCGCCCCGGCGGGGACGCGCGGGGCCGUGAGGGGAGCGGCGGGGCACGGCCUGUUGGCCCCGGUACCGGGUUCGGCCGGGCCCCGGCGGUCGGAGCGAGUCCUCCUGCCCCAGCUCCUGGCUGCACUAGCUCGGGCACCUGCCAGGGCCCCGGUGCCCGUUCGCGACUGUCCCAAGCAGCGGAGAGCUGGAGUUUCGCAACCGAAACAGUUUUGAGAAGGUUCUCUUACUUUUUUUGAUAUUUUUUUUUUCAGUCAUUGCUCUUAGAAGUCCUGAUGUAUUUAGCGGAGGAUUUCCAAGCUUUUAGCCUGUGGUUCCCAUUACUGGAAGCUAAGAUGUGUGUGUGACUUGGGGAAAUAGUGAUUUUUUACUUGAUUGGGGUUAAAAAAGGAGUAGGAAUCUGAAGUCAUAUGUUUAUCAUGUAAGUGAAAUAUGGCCAUUAAAAAAGUACUUCUGCCAGGAUGGUCUUACCUUGCCCUGCACCGUGUAGGCUGUGCUGCAGGGAGGGCUCGGGCAGCCUGGCAGAGCUUGCUGUCCAGCUCAUGGCAAGCCUGGAACCCGAAAUACCCCAGAGGUUCUCUGCAGGCUCCAUUUCAGGCUCUUUACUAGUCCCAUCGUUUUCUCUUCUUCAAAUAACCGCCAGCUGCGACAGCUGAAACUGUAGUAGUAGCUCGGAACGGCAGCGUGGUGUGCUCAGUGUCCCGCUUGUGCUGUGCAAGCAGGUGCUGUUCUGGAAGACUCCGGCAGAAAUUGUUCGGUGCGGAAGGUGUUUUACAGCAACAACAUUUCUCUAACAGUAUUGUUUGAGUGAUGACAGUUUGAAUGUAUAUACGUAUAUAUACACACACGUAUAUUAAGUAGGGAAAAGUAAGCAGUUUGGAAGGGCUGGGUAGCCAUGCAUAGGAAUUCCUAACGUUUUCCAUUCAAGUCUCUCUUUCCAGUUGUUUAAAAUUUGCCGGCCUGAAGCUAUCUGGAUGGAACUUUCCAUGGGCUGUAUCUGCCGCAAGCAGGCUGCUUGUUGGGCUUCAGCUAAAACUGUUGACCUGCUUUUGGGAACAGAAUCAAGGUGAUUUAUUGCACACUACAGAUAGUCUCAAAGCUUUUUCACUGUGGAAAUCUUGUACCUCUGGGAUGGUGACUUCAAGUUUAGACAUGGUAGUUCUCCUGGAUUCAAGGAAAUGUCUUUCAUUGUCUUUGUGAAACUACCCAAGAGUGACCAAUGGCCAGAAUUCUGGGGAAAAAGCCACACAUAAUCCAUGUGGAGACUCAAGGGGCUGGUAUAUAACACCUCUGAAGACCGCAAGCAUUCUUCAGCCCUUCACAUUUCCUCCAUGUGACUGGACUCCCAUCUAUUUCUGCCACUGCAGGAGCAGGGUGGGAUAUCACAUGGCUCCAGGCAUGGGAUCUGAGAAGAGUGUGCCACUCUCGCUGUAGCAGGUACUCAACCAUCUGGGCUUUGUGCUGUGGUUGAAACAGCUGCUCCAGAAAACAGCUGGAAGUAGAAAAGGGCUGAUGGGGAAAGUCAGGAGGAAGGUGGUGAUUCUGAAGUGGGUUAGCACAAGAAGGCCAGCAAAGGAAACUAGAGCAAAGCUGGGUAUAGAUAUAAAGGAACAGAAGCAAAGGGAGCUAUGGUUAGGAGGAUGGAAUUGGUGUGGGAAGUGUAUCAGCAAGAAUGGGGUGAGACAGAGGUUUGAGAAGAAAGACAAGAUAGUAUUAAGAUGACAGCACCGGGGAGAGAGACAGGAGAAGCUGAGAGGGGCAACAAGGAAGGAAAGAAAACUAGAAUUAUUAUUAGAAAAAUUAUUACUGUUGAAAAAUACUAUUCCUGAAUUUCUGUGCUUCUUUUCUUGUUUAGCUGGUAGCUUUGAAACACAUCAGCAAAAUACUGUCAGCUCUACAGCUUACAGUCACGGGAGGCUGGUACAGUCCCAAAAGGAGGAGAAGGUAGAUUCCUCCUCCAAACUUGAGCUGUCAGCAGGAGAGUUUGGUUUGAUGUCUCCUCAAAAUGCAGUCUUUGGUGCACCUCCUUCUGUGGGAGCUUCACAGGCUUGGUUACAUGGUAGUACAGAUGUACAGUGCCAGCAGUGCAGUGCAACAUACAGAGUCUGUGCCCCGCUAUAAGAGACACUUGAACUGGCACUGCAUGGAGCCCAGGGCCAUUCGACAGGGCUAAAUCCAACUGAGACCAUGCUCCUGGACCCAAACUGGCUCAGCAAAGGUACAUUCGUGAUACGCUGUACUUAGACUAGAAAGCUCUCUUACACCCUGCUGUGCCUGAGUGGACCCAUCUUGAGUAUCUUUGCACCACUGCUGUAUUUGAUUGGUAAACUAAUUUGCACAUGGAUGUUGUAUGUCACCGUCUGUUGCCCCUUCUCCGCUGACAGGACCACCUACAAGGCGUAAAAGUAGCCAUAUCCUGUCAGACCAAAAGAUUAUUCAGAUUUCUUGUCUCUGACAGUGACAAUUGUGGAUGCUUAGACAAGGCAUACAGGAAACGUGGCAAAUACAGAGCAAUCUGUUUACUUUGUACUCUCCCAGCUUCUAGCUCUCAGGACUUCCGAAGAUGGAAAUUUCAUCUGGAAUAUCAUGUUUAGUAGCCAUUGAUGGGCAUGUGUUACAUGUCUAAUAUUUUUUUCCAAUUUGCUUAUAUUUUUGACCGCCACAGUGUCCUGUGGGUUCUGCUAUUUAAUUAUGUGCUGUAUAAAAAGUACUUCCUUCGGUUUGUUUUAAAGCAGCUGCCUUGUAAUUUCAUUGGUUGCUGGCUUGUUCUUGUGCUGUGAGAAAUGAGCGAGUAAUCAUUGCUUAAUUGCCUCUCCCAUGCUAUUCAUAACUUUAUAUACCCUGAGCUGUCUCUUGGCCUCACUGAGGAGUCUAGUUAAUCUCUCAUUAUAUGGACGUUGUUGGUGUCCUUGUUGUUCCUUCUCACCCUUUUCUGGUUUUGAAAGGGAGAGACUAUAGAUUUUUGUGGUAACUUAAUGUUUCAUUCUAUAUUCCUCUCUUAAGAGUUCCUACAAUCAACCCCAGUGACUUCAUAAUCUACUUUUUCGAAGGUAAUAGAUAAUUUACAGCCUAACAUGUAUGUAUAAUCAAAAGUUGCUUUUUCCUGUUCACAUUUAUCAAUAUUAAAUGCUAACAGUCUUUAAAUUGUCCCAAUACAACGUUGUGAAAUCUGCUGCAACUCUAUAACAAAGCUUUGAUUAUCCUGAAUUAUUUCCUAUCCUUGCUAACUUUUCUCAUCUCCUUUUCCAAAACCUUAACAUGUCCAACAGGACAGAUUCCUUCAUAUUAGUUUCCAAACUCAAAAUGUAUUCUCAUCCUUUAUUUAUUUCCUUUUAAACAGCUAUUAAUCCAGGAGGAGUAUUCUUUACUUUUCUGUGAUUAUUUUAUUUCUGUGGGUGUGAAACCUUAUCCCCAAUAAUUUGGAAGUACAAAUAUACUUUCUUGACAGGAUCACCCUUAGUGUUCAGAGAACUCUGAUGGAUUUGUGAUGUAUAACUUCUGUACAGUGGCUAUAGUUUCCCCAUUAUAUCGUAGCUACCUGGAUAUCUGCUAAUUUCACUGUUUGCUGUGCAGUUUCUACUGGUUUGCAUGUGGAAGUGAGUGACACCCUGUGAGUCUUUGACCAUGCCUGAUUGAUGUGAUUCCCUACGGUGAGUGUUACUCUUUAGUGGAAGGUUUUCUUUUAGAAUUUAAAGAGUAGGAGACGAUUCACUGGACAAUGUGGAGAAGUCACAAAGACAGUCAUUUAAGAGUUAGGAACUACAAGAAUGAAGGUUGCCAGUGUGGCACCCAAGCACAGCGUAGUAAUGUUGUAAGACAUCUAGUAUGAUGUCAUCAAUAGAAAUGUUAGCCUGCCACUAAAAUGUUCCUUUUAUCUUUGCACAGGUGUUUUAAACUCUGCCCUUGCCAACACUAAUUUUGGAAGAAUCCAGAGAAGAUUGGAAAAUGGGGGAGAGGAACCAGAAAUUUGAUUCCACAGUUAAAUGAUGAUGUGGAAGUGCCCAUAAGGGCAGCCACUUAACAAACCCUCCCAGGUGGGUCUGUUCCUGUCACUGCCUCAAGCCAGGGUCAUCAAAGAAAGGCUGUGGAUACUACAAGGAAGAGAAACUGAGACCUUCACCUUCAAAGUCUCUUGUCAAUCACAUCUGUCAGCAGAUAUUUUAUACCCCUAUGGUGAAUAUUGGCACAGCUGGUUGUCCUGUAAGUGCAAGGCUCCUUUUAUAGGAAAAAGGAGACCGGGUUAAGGAAAAAUUUAGAUGAAAUUGAGCAUUGUCUGCUUUAGCAGCUGCUCAGAAAGAGUACCAUGCCUACAGUAUUGACUGUAUGUGAACAAAUUCCAGGUUUCUUACCAGUGCAGAAAAAUAUAAAGUAAUCAUCUACCCUACCUUAAA